GACGUAGGGCGCGAGCGUUGUCCGGAAUUAUUGGGCGUAAAGAGCUCGUAGGCGGCUUGUUGCGUCGACUGUGAAAACCCGCGGCUCAACCGUGUGGCUUGCAGUCGAUACGGGCAGGCUAGAGUUCGGUAGGGGAGACUGGAAUUCCUGGUGUAGCGGUGAAAUGCGCAGAUAUCAGGAGGAACACCGGUGGCGAAGGCGGGUCUCUGGGACGAUACUGACGCUGAGGAGCGAAAGCGUGGGGAGCGAACAGG
rnacentral:rRNA from 1 species